AUGCGAACUGAGGUUAUAAAGGCGGACACCAUUGAUGCAGCUGCUGAACGAAUUCUUGAUGAACUCAAAAACACUAGAAGCAGAGAGAAUGCUAUCUACUUUGAUGGCUGGGAUGGCCUGGGGGCAUCUGCCGUCCUGCGAGCCGUGGCCCAGCGGCUGGCACCAAAGGAACAAACAAGGCCCCCAGGACUGGAGUUUGAGCAAGUCAUCCACAUUGACUCCUCAAAGUGGGAGAGCAGAAGAGCGGUGCAGAGGGAAAUCUCAGAGCAGCUGAAGCUUCCCGGUUGGGUGAGGAAGAUGUUUGACAAGCAAGAUGAGGAUGAUGAUUUCAGCGGUAUGGAUCAAGGCUCUCGCACUGAGAUAGCAGAAGUCACGGCUGAGAUCCAUAGGAGCAUGCAGAGCCGCAGGUUUCUUCUGGUUCUUCACAACGGAAGCAGCGAGGAGAUUGACACAUUUAACCUCGGUCUUUCCCUAUAUGGAUACUUGAGUAGCAAGAUGCUUUGGACCUUCCAAGGGAGGUUUCGGCUCGACCCCAAGCUGCGAGACAAGGUUGUGGCAAAGAACACAACUGAUGUUCUUCUCUCAGCUUCGCGCUCUAAGCGAGACCCACAAGAUCUCUGGUCCUAUCUACUUCUUGAAGAAGCUAAGGACGUCUCCUGCAAGCAUGGCCUGGAUCCUGCAACUGUUGCUGAGUGCUACUCGUACAUGUUGGAGCGGAGUUACAUGAGCCAAAAUAUCAUUGACUAUGAGUGGACUCUCCAUGCGAGUAAAUGGCACUGA
rnacentral:rRNA from 1 species